UGGCAUACUGUGCUCUUGGCCUGCUUGUACCUGCUAAGCCUGACUCUGGUCUGAACUCCUGGUUUUGUACUCCUAGUGUGGGAUCACUGGCUUGUGAGAUCUUGGACUCCUGACUUGUUCACUUGCAAAACAGCUCAAAUAUCUCUGCCCCAUGUUGCAAUGUCUUCUGUGCCUUCAGUACCAGAAUCUCCUGAGGUUCAACAGGCCAUCUAUCUAUUAAUUCAAAAGGUACUGUGGAGAAUUCUGCAAAGUUUGUGUGAAGAAUGAGGGAUGAUCAUCUGGAUAAACUGAAACAAAUUCUGUGCAGAAAGCAGAGUGGGCUCUAUCGUUGGACCAACCAAGCAUUGAACUUUUCUGGAUCCAACUCACUGGGUUCAAAGUGUUCUUUGGUGUGCAAAUCUGAAAGCUUGAAGGGAUGCCAUGUGUCUUCAACCAAACAAGGGGGAACAGAGAAUCCCAAACCAUUAUUGUCUGUUGUGAUGUCUUGAUAAGGACUAGAUGGGAGCUGUUCACCUUCAAAAUCAUGGGGCCAGAAGGAUAUCAGAAAUGUACAAAGGGGGCUUUCUGCUACAGACUGUUGAGCCGACAGAGAAGGUUGAGAUGUGUAUACAAGGACCCAGGCUGUGCAGCACCUUG
rnacentral:lncRNA from 1 species